rnacentral:rRNA from 1 species
CCUACGGGAGGCUGCAGUGAGGAAUAUUGGUCAAUGGGCGAGAGCCUGAACCAGCCAAGUCGCGUGAAGGAUGACGGCCCUACGGGUUGUAAACUUCUUUUGUCAGGGAGCAAUUGGGUCCACGCGUGGGCUUAGCGAGAGUACCUGAAGAAAAAGCAUCGGCUAACUCCGUGCCAGCAGCCGCGGUAAUACGGAGGAUGCGAGCGUUAUCCGGAUUUACUGGGUGUAAAGGGAGCGUAGACGGCAGCACAAGUCUGGAGUGAAAUCCCGGGGCUUAACCCCGGAACUGCUUUGGAAACUGUGCGGCUGGAGUGCAGGAGGGGUAAGCGGAAUUCCUAGUGUAGCGGUGAAAUGCGUAGAUAUUAGGAGGAACACCGAUUGCGAAGGCAGCAUACCGGCGCCCAACUGACGCUGAAGCACGAAAGCGUGGGUAUCGAACAGGAUUAGAUACCCCAGUAGUC